UCCUACGGGAGGCAGCAGUAGGGAAUCUUCGGCAAUGGACGGAAGUCUGACCGAGCAACGCCGCGUGAGUGAAGAAGGUUUUCGGAUCGUAAAACUCUGUUGUUAGAGAAGAACAAGGGUGAGAGUAACUGUUCACCCCUUGACGGUAUCUAACCAGAAAGCCACGGCUAACUACGUGCCAGCAGCCGCGGUAAUACGUAGGUGGCAAGCGUUGUCCGGAUUUAUUGGGCGUAAAGCGAGCGCAGGCGGUUUCUUAAGUCUGAUGUGAAAGCCCCCGGCUCAACCGGGGAGGGUCAUUGGAAACUGGGAGACUUGAGUGCAGAAGAGGAGAGUGGAAUUCCAUGUGUAGCGGUGAAAUGCGUAGAUAUAUGGAGGAACACCAGUGGCGAAGGCGGCUCUCUGGUCUGUAACUGACGCUGAGGCUCGAAAGCGUGGGGAGCAAACAGGAUUAGAUACCCUGGUAGUCCACGCCGUAAACGAUGAGUGCUAAGUGUUGGAGGGUUUCCGCCCUUCAGUGCUGCAGCUAACGCAUUAAGCACUCCGCCUGGAG
rnacentral:rRNA from 1 species